GGGGAAACCCACCUUAAAUGCUUAGAAAAUCAAGCGCGCCGUGAGGUGCGAGGCAGUAGCCAGCAGGCAAUAUGCAGUAGUGGAUUGAAAGAGAAACCAUUGCCUACUGCCUAAGACCUAUUGCCUGGAAGCGCGUCAAAGACGCGCUUGGUUUCUAAGCAUUGUUAUGAGGUAUCUUCACCUGAAUAAAAUAGGGUGUUAAGAAGCGAACGCAGGGAACUGAAACUUCU
rnacentral:rRNA from 1 species